AACGAACGCUGGCGGCAUGCCUAACACAUGCAAGUCGAACGCAACCUUCGGGUCUAGUGGCGCACGGGUGAGUAACGCGUGGGAACCUGCCCUUAGGUUCGGAAUAACUCCCCGAAAGGGGUGCUAAUACCGGAUAAUGUCUUCGGACCAAAGAUUUAUCGCCUUUGGAUGGGCCCGCGUUGGAUUAGCUAGUUGGUAGGGUAAAAGCCUACCAAGGCGACGAUCCAUAGCUGGUCUGAGAGGAUGAUCAGCCACACUGGGACUGAGACACGGCCCAGACUCCUACGGGAGGCAGCAGUGGGGAAUAUUGGACAAUGGGCGAAAGCCUGAUCCAGCAAUGCCGCGUGAGUGAUGAAGGCCUUAGGGUUGUAAAGCUCUUUUACCCGGGAUGAUAAUGACGGUACCGGGAGAAUAAGCUCCGGCUAACUCCGUG
rnacentral:rRNA from 1 species